ACUCCUACGGGAGGCAGCAGUGGGGAAUUUUGGACAAUGGGCGCAAGCCUGAUCCAGCCAUGCCGCGUGCAGGAUGAAGGCCUUCGGGUUGUAAACUGCUUUUGUACGGAACGAAAAGCCCCCUUCUAAUAAAGGGGGGUGAUGACGGUACCGUAAGAAUAAGCACCGGCUAACUACGUGCCAGCAGCCGCGGUAAUACGUAGGGUGCAAGCGUUAAUCGGAAUUACUGGGCGUAAAGCGUGCGCAGGCGGUUAUGUAAGACAGAGGUGAAAUCCCCGGGCUCAACCUGGGAACUGCCUUUGUGACUGCAUAGCUUGAGUGCGGCAGAGGGGGAUGGAAUUCCGCGUGUAGCAGUGAAAUGCGUAGAUAUGCGGAGGAACACCGAUGGCGAAGGCAAUCCCCUGGGCCUGCACUGACGCUCAUGCACGAAAGCGUGGGGAGCAAACAGGAUUAGAUACCCUGGUAGUC
rnacentral:rRNA from 1 species